GGAGGGAGAGAGGGGGAGGGAGGAAGGGAGGGAGGGAGAGAGGGAGAGAAGUCUGGCUCACCAGAACCCAUCUCCCAGGCUCUACAGUAAUGCCACAUAGCUGAAAGAGUGCAUCAAUCCGGGGGAGGAAAAGAAGGCUCCAGGCUGCAUGUCAAGUCUAUCAAAGCCAUCAGCUCACACCCGGGGCGCACAACUGGAUCACACAUGUGUGGUGGGGCUUCUGGUACAGACCAGAGGCUCAGUUCAUCGGUGGAUCACCUGCACUGGGUUCUGUUGGCACCACAAAAUUCAUAAAUAAAGGCCCAGGUACCACUGAGGGGCUGCUGAAGUGCCACUCCAACAGGAAUUUUUUAGGACAAGGAUUGCCUUGCUUCCUCUACCUGGAGCCAUUCCAAGCAGAGAGGAAAAAAGGCCUACCUGGCAGGGCUGCCUCCAUCCCUGGUGACAUCGGUGCCUAGGCUGUCACAGCCACUGCAAUGGGCAUUUUCCCUGGAGUCUACCCUGGGCAGCUGGAAUGUGCCACAGGACACAGAGGCUGGCAGAGGUCUGCACUGGGAGCCCUGCCUGGCCAAGAGCCACGGGGAAGCACUUGGUUAUUCAGCUGGGGUAGCUGCCCAAGGGGAAAGAAAGGAUGCACUUCCCCCAACACAGGGAAGCAGGGCAGCCAGCCCGGUACAGCCUGGGCGCCCAUGGCGCAGAAGGAAAUUGGAGAGCAAAACUCUUGCACAAGUCACUGCAGGGAGAUGCCCCGGCCCAGGAAGACUCUGGAAAUAAGAGAUAGAAACUCUGCAGGAUCAGGCCCAAGGCCAGAGCCCCAGCUGGAGUCUGGGUCAGUCCACCACCUGGACUCCUGAGCUAGCAGCAGUGGCCUUCCCCUGACCUGGAGACACCAGGACUGCCCUACAGGGUUUUCACGCUCCCCACCAGGAAUCACAGGGAACAGAUAAACUCUUCAUGUCAGGCCUGGGGCAGGGGGUGGCUCAGUGACUCCCUGGGGCAUUCUGUAGUCUAACCCUGCUACUUGCUCAACUCCUGUCCCCCACUAAGUGGCUCCAGAAGAAGCAACAGGUUCAAGCAUUUAGGCAUCCAGCCCACAGAGAUUUUUCCAGUGACUGAAUGGGUCCAGCCCAGAAGCCGGAGCCAGGCUGCUGGAGUUCAACUCUGGAUUAAGCUUUCAGGGGCUGUGUGACCCGGGGUGUGUCCCUUCCCUUCCUCUGUGCACCUUCACCUUUGAGGAAAAGGAUUCCAGAACCUUGGAGACAUUUGAAAAGAAUGAGAGAGGAGGAGUAACAAGCCCUCUUAGAAGUCUGGGCCGUGUGGAGCUUAGUAAAUGACAACUCCCAGUAGUCACCACUUUAAUAAUUGGAUUAAGGGGAGCCAGGAUGGGAACUCUGCACCAAAUCUUCCCAAGGGAGACACAGCUUUUCUCCCCAAAGUCAAGUCCAGACAGGUACAAACCAACCCAGAAACCAGAGCACAGAACCCAGGCUCUGGGUUCGAGUCUCAGCUCUGUAGCCCUGGGCACUUGAGGGUUCCUGUUUCUGUGUGACACACAUUGCAUGGCUCUCCACCCACCUUGAAACUGUGAGACCUCCCUUCCCCAGCUUGGGGACAUACAUGGCACUUUGCACACUGUCAGCUCUGGGUGGUGCCAGGAAACCCAGGAGCUGACAUGCUGGGUCUGCCCCAGAUGGGGUGAGGUGACAGGCCGGUUACCAUCCCUAACAACCUCUCUGGACCCAAGCUCCAGGGAAGUAAGUGAGAGGCCUCAAGGAAAUGAGGAUACUGUUUCUUCCCUGUGUAUUACACAGAGCCCUGACGAGGCUCUUACAUGGACCUGCCUGCCUGGGGCCAGCCCAAUGAGGUGCCAGGAAGCCAUCAGGAAACAUCCAGAAGCUGCCAGACAAAUGCCACAGCCUACCAGCUGGAGCACACACCCAGAUUCAUCAGGCAUACACCAUUUAUUGGCCAACUCCCCAGAAGCAGUGACAGCAGCAGGACCCCAGCACCACACCCAGGAGAGGCCAAGAGCCACGGGGCAAUGAGAAGGUGCUAAGUUCCUGCACCUACCACACGUCAGAGUGGGCAGCUCUGUCCUUUCUCUGCUGAAGGCUCUCCUGGUUUGCAGGUGGGUCUCCUUGUGCCAGCUUCUACCCAGGACACUACUGCUGCCUGCUCCUCCAGUGAUGGUCACAAGACCCACCAUGUGCUCUGCACUGGGCUGGGCGGGUGUUUUCUUGGAGCGGUUUCACGGUCUGGGCAGCAGAAGUGCUCUCCUCGCACCUUCAUGCUUUUAUAUUUGAACUCUUGAAUCUGGGGCAGGGGAACUGAAAGGGGGGAGGAACACUCCUGUAAUAUGCUCCCUGGAGCACAUGCAGCCUUGGGGACAGUCAAACCUUUGAUAGCUACUGCCUGAC
ensembl:lncRNA